UUUGAAACAAGUUUAUUUAAACCUCUUACACUAGAGCUAGCUCAGUCAGAGUUAGUCUUAAAUUCUAUAUCAAAUUAUAUUAAAGGGACACUGUAGGUAGCCAGACCACUUCAGCUCAUUGAAGUAGUCAGGGUGCUGUGACCCUUUUCACCUAGUGCUGCAAUGCAAAACAUUGCAGUUCCAGAGAAUGUUUACAUAGCAGUUCUAAGUCAGCCUCUAGUGGCUGUCAACCACACAGCCACUAGAUGCUUCCGGAAUCUGAACAGACUUCUG